GGGUGAAGCUACAGGAAGGUCUGAUUUUUCAUUUUAACACUAUCCACAAGAAAGCAACCCAUGAACUGCAUUUGAUAAACCAGAGGGAUACACUAACAAAGUCUGCAGUGGGUUAGGUGUGAAGGUCCAAACAUAAAGGCACAGACACCGAAACCUCAAUAAGGGGAAGCGGAAUAAGAAGCCGACUCUUUCAUUGCCUUCUUCUGUGACUCUUCCCUUCCCUCAGAUCAACAAAGCUCGGUGCUCUCACUGAACAUGUGUCAAAAAAGGAGGUCAACACGCAAGCAAAGAUGAACCCUUAUGUUACUUCUCACUUCAGGAGGGAUCUCUUCCCCCAUUUUCAUUUGUUGUAGACUUUUUGUUUACCCUGCUUUUGCUGGUUGGAUGCAAUGACUUGCUCUGUAUUUGGAAAGUUAUAGCCACAGCUCCUGCUUCUUGCUUUGCUGUUCUGUCUGUACCUUCAGCAGUGCACGGUUAUGGUUGAGUAACUGAUUCUGUCCACUGGUUUCUAAAUGAUUAUGGGUUGCAUGGUUUUUACACUUUGUCAGGAUUCAGUUGUAAGGGUCUCUGGGAAUGACUGGGCAAGGGAUGCCAAGUAAGAGUCCACAAGCACAAAAACUGUUACAGCCUCCUGCUUAG
ensembl:lncRNA